rnacentral:tRNA from 1 species
GGGGUUGUGGCUCAGUGGUAGAGUGCUUGCCUCACAUGUAUGAGGCACUGGGUUCAAUUCUCAGCACCA